UCUUGAUUCUGUGCUACGAUCGCUUAAUAGCAUCACAACAACUUCAGACAUGCUUGGCCUAAGAUUUGCUGGUGACUGUGUGCACAUUAACGCGAUCUCUAUGACUUUCUUCACUUCUUGUUCGUUGUAUUCGUUGGGGUCUAAUGUCUCGUCCACUAGUUUUACAGGCGUGCCAGUUUCAUGAAGCUUCCACGCCUAUUUCACCAUGCCAAGAUUAGAUAGGACUCGCGAAAAGGUGAUAGUUUAGAUGUGUUUUAUCAUUAACUCAAACAAAGAUUGUAUAUUUGAAAAUGAGAACAGACCUGUUCGAGUAGAUAUUCAGUGACAGGCUCGAUUUGCAUAUCGUUGCUCCUCCUUCCACUGAUUAUUUCAAGAACGACAACACCAAAGCUAUAGACGUCAACUUUCUCUGUUAGAUGUCCAUGAAUUGCAUAUUCUGGUGCAGUAUAUCCCCUGUAUCAAUUAUAUCACAUUGAGUUAUUCGCGUUUUUUGCAUAAUGCCUUUACUUAUAUCAGGAAAAUCGUAAAGUUCGACUUACAUUGUACCAGCAAACUUAGUGCUAACAUGACUUUGAUCCUCAGGUAAAAGUCUUACAAGCCCAAAAUCAGCUAUCUUUGGCUGGAAUUCGUCGUCUAGUAGAAUGUUGCUGGAUUUUAUAUCUCGAUGGAUGAUGCAGACGUGGAAUUGCUCGUGCAAGUAUGCAAGGCCACGAGCUGUGCCAAAGAUUAUAUUGAAUCUUUGCUUCCAGUUGAGCAUCCCUCGUCUGUCUCCUGCAAAACCAUGAGAGGUAAAAUGACUACUUUUAAGACUUUUCCUUGAUUUGACUCGGAGAAAAUAGUAAGGCGGAUAGACAAAAAUAUCAACCAUAUAAGUAUCUUUCGAGGCUGCCAUUUGCCAUGUAUUCGUAAACAAGUAGUAGGUCUGAUGCUUUGUUUGAACAUCCCAAGAGACGGAUGAGAUUGCGAUGAUGGACAUUACUGAUAAGACGAACUUCAGUCUCAAAAUCUGCUUUCGCUCUGCUUGACAUAAUUGCUAGUUUUUUAACAGCUACUACAUUUCCGUUUUUCAAAGUUCCCUGUUCAAUAACAUUAGGGUCAACAAAUGAAUAAUACAUUGAAAAUCGAAGAUCAUCUAGUCCAUAUGACUAAAAUUAGGAUCUUCAACUGUUUUUGUGUUACAUACCUUGUAUACAUCACCAAAACCACCUUCACCAAGUUUAUUACUUUCGUUGAAAUCUUUGGUAGCAAUUUUUAGAUCCUUGAAGCUAUAGCUCACCGGGCCUCUCAGCUCAGUUGCUCCCAGUAUAUUACCUGAAUAUGAACUACUAUAUCAUUUAACAACAUGAAUAAAUGGAAGGACGAAACAGAACUAAAGAAGAUUCAGAAAUGAUCAUCCGAAUUUGACCUCUCUCAGCUGUCUUUGGCUUUCUUGAUAGUCGAUACCAUAGGAAAACAGCCAAUACAAUCAAAAGAAGUCCUACACCUCCAACGACACCUCCAAUAAUGACGGCUUUCUUCUUGUUUGAACUUCCUGCAUAAGCAACACCACCAAUCAUAAACUUGUCUUAAAACGAGCUAAUACUAGUAAGAGUUGAGAAAAAGAGAGGUUCAUUUCCUACCUCCUCCGCCAAGAAAUGGUGUGAUAUCAGUUGUCGUGUUAUCAGCAAAAAAAGCUCUAUCCGAGUACCUCAUAAAACACGCUGCAUCAACAGCCCUUCCUUCUGCAUAUUUAGGUAAACAGCCUUCUAUGUUCUUAUAUGCAACUGUCAAACAAUCUCGGCAACCACUUUCCGUUAUGCUUUCAGCACACUGUGCUACUCCGUAGACAGUAACACCGGAUGCUUCCCUCUUUGUGGCUGCGAAGAAGUCACUAGUUCUUGGAGUUGCUGUACUAAGAUCAUUCAAGAGUUGUAGUGCCACGGGGCUUAAAGCAUUCGGUUGAGAAGAUGUUCUGUUCCCACAGAUCUCAGCAUUUCCUGGUUGUGUAGUAUCUUGGUAGAAGUUGUUGCUCUCGUACCUUUUAAAAGAGGCAUCAAUAGAGCAAUGAGUUAAUGAUUUAGAAGGUAUUCCACAUCUAUGUUGCUCAGAUCCUCCGAAAAUGAGUUAAACUUUUGAAUGAUCCAACACACUCUGGACAACAUUUUUCAAGGAUCCGAGCAACAUAAGUUUAUGGUAAAGUUCUACUUCUCAUAGUGUUGAGUUUUCACGAUCUUCUUUCAAUCGAAGAUUGCCACAACCAGAUACACAUGAUCUCACAUCAAACAAGAUGGUUUACAAUUACAAUUCAUGAUUCUUCAAAGAAAUGAAACUUUAAGCAAGACUCAACAACUCUGAUGUGAAAAUACUAAGAGCAAUUGCAUAAGAUUUUGAACCAAACUUGAGGGAACCAAAAAUAGAAUAACUUUAACCGCGUAUUCACUGUCCUUAAGGAACUUAUUCCCCUGCUACGUUGUUUCUUGAUAUAUGGAAGAAGUAAUUCCUUCAUAGGAAAUUCGAGUUCAACAAAAACUUAAAUCACCACACAAAAUGAGUAUUUCAAAGAGUUAAGCACCACUAACUCUUAUCAAUUUACGUUGUUCAGACUCUUUAAAAACAUCAACUAUUCAAAAGUAGUGCAUUAUGAGAGGAUAAUCCGGCAAAAGCAUAACAUAAUUGAGUCUAUAUUACUAGAAGAAACUUAUAUAGUCGACUCAAACUUGUUUUCAGGUGAAUUGAACUCACCUGAGGAAGCAACCAUCAUAAGUAACACGAGCGCCAUUCGCGCCAGAGCAAGUUCUGAUGAGAGAAACAGCAGAAUCAUAACAGGAAACACAAUCAGCUCUUGACAAAU
rnacentral:lncRNA from 1 species